CUACGGGUGGCUCCAGUGAGGAAUAUUGCACAAUGGGGGGAACCCUGAUGCAGCAACGCCGCGUGGAGGAGGGCGCAUUUCGGUGUGUAAACUCCUUUUAUAUGUCAAGAAAAUGCGCGCACCCUCUUCAUACUCUCCUUCUCACUCCUUUCCCUCCUCCGCGGUCAUACGGAGGGCGCAAGCGUUACUCGGAAUCACUGGGCGUAAAGGACGCGUAGGCGGGUUGGAAAGUCAGGUGUGAAAUCCUACAGCUUAACUGUAGAACUGCACUUGAAACUUCUAAUCUAGAGUAUGGGAGGGGGAGAUGGAAUUAGUGGGGUAGGGGUAAAAUCCGUAGAUAUCACUAGGAAUACCUAAAGCGAAGGCGAUCUCCUGGAACAUUACUGACGCUAAGGCGUGAAAGCGUGGGGAGCAAACCGGAUUAGAUACCCCCGUAGUC
rnacentral:rRNA from 1 species